UAGGGAAUCUUCGGCAAUGGACGGAAGUCUGACCGAGCAACGCCGCGUGAGUGAAGAAGGUUUUCGGAUCGUAAAGCUCUGUUGUUAGAGAAGAACGUUGGUAGGAGUGGAAAAUCUACCAAGUGACGGUAACUAACCAGAAAGGGACGGCUAACUACGUGCCAGCAGCCGCGGUAAUACGUAGGUCCCGAGCGUUGUCCGGAUUUAUUGGGCGUAAAGCGAGCGCAGGCGGUUCUUUAAGUCUGAAGUUAAAGGCAGUGGCUUAACCAUUGUACGCUUUGGAAACUGGAGGACUUGAGUGCAGAAGGGGAGAGUGGAAGUCCAUGUGUAACGGUGAAAUGCGUAGAUAUAUGGAGGAACACCGGUGGCGAAAGCGGCUCUCUGGUCUGUAACUGACGCUGAGGCUCGAAAGCGUGGGGAGCAAACAGG
rnacentral:rRNA from 1 species